CUGCUGUGCAACAGGAGCAGAAGAAUGGCUGAGCAGAUUUGUCUCCAGCCUUGCUGCAGGCAGAGACUGUAAUCACAUCACAAUUAAUGGUCCUGAUACAACCAGUGACUUCCAUCCUAAUGAGGUCCAUAGUAAAGUCAUCUUCUGUAUGUAAUUAUUGUCUUGACCUUAGGUUUUGGAUCUGCACUUUAGGAAGAGGAAGACCAGCUGAGAUGAAGGCAUCUGACUCUUGCUUCAGAUCUUUCCAAACCAUGGGAAUGUGCCUUUCACACAGCUCUGAUCUGAGCCUAUGUCUAAAUAUAACCAUAAUACAAUAAAAUGCACCAAAAAAAACCCCAAGAAAUAUGCCCAACAGUGGUUAUUACCACAAUUACAUCACAGCAGAAACAGGUGCAAGGAAAUAAGCCUCCCAGAAGUUUCUAUUCAGGAGGGAGAUGACUGAAGAAAGCAGAAGGAAAAGAGGAAGGCAGAGGCUGCCUGCUAGUAGAGUGCGUGUCCAGUGUUGCAUUGCCCUCUGAAUGCCCUGGUGCCUGGAACCUCCA